GCUGGCGUAGCUCAAUGGUAGAGCAGCGCAUUCGUAAUGCGCAGGUUAGCGGUUCAAGUCCGCUCGCCAGCU
rnacentral:tRNA from 1 species